rnacentral:rRNA from 1 species
ACGGCUCAGUAACACGUGGAUAAUCACCCUUGGGACCGACUAACCCCGCGAAGCUGGGGACAAAUCCCGAUAGGUGAUGCGGAGCUAAUGGUUAUUCCCACAAACACUUUCAUUGCCCAAGGAUGGGUCUGCGCCCGAAUAGGUCUUGUUAGGGUACCGGCCUUUCAUCCCGAUCAUCGGUACGGGUUGCGAGAGCAAGAGUCCGGAGAUGGAACUUGAGACAAGAUUACAGGCCUUCCGCGGCGCAGCAGGCGUGAAACCUCCGCAAUGCACGCAAGUGUCACGAGGGAACCCCAAGCAACUCUCUCAGCUGGGUGGCUUUUCAGAAGUGUAAAAAGAUUAUGGAAUAAGGGCUGGGCAAGGCCGCUACCAGCCGCCGCGGUAACACCGGCAGCUCAGGUGGUAGCCGCUUUUAUUGGGCUUAAAGCCUCCGUAGCCGGUCUGAUAAGUCUCUGGUGAAAUCCCCCAGCUUAACAGUGGGAAUUGCUGGAGAUACUAUCAUGACUCGAGGUCGGGAGCGGCGGGAGGUACUCCCAGGGUAGGGGUGAAAUCCUGUAAUCCUGGGAGGACCCCCUGUGGCGAAGGCGUCCAUCUCGAACGAACCCGACGGUGAGGGACGAAAGCCAGGGGCGCGACCCCGAUUUGAUACCCGGGUAGUCCUGGCCGUAACCGAUGUGGACUUGGUGUUGGGAUGGCCUCGACAGGCCCCAGUGCCGAAGGGAAGCUUUUAACUCCUCCGCCUGGGAUGUACGGCCGCAAGGCGAAACUUAAAGGAAUUGGCGGGGGAG